rnacentral:rRNA from 1 species
CAGUCGCCGCGGGAAUACAUAGGGUGCAAGCGUUAAUCGGAAUUACUGGGCGUAAAGCGUGCGCAGGCGGUUUGUUAAGACAGAUGUGAAAUCCCCGGGCUCAACCUGGGAACUGCAUUUGUGACUGGCAAGCUAGAGUGUGGCAGAGGGGGGUGGAAUUCCGCGUGUAGCAGUGAAAUGCGUAGAUAUGCGGAGGAACACCGAUGGCGAAGGCAGCCCCCUGGGCCAACACUGACGCUCAUGCACGAAAGCGUGGGGAGCAAACAGGAUUAGAUACCCCAGUAGUCCCUGUCUCUUAUAC